UAUAAAUGUGACUAGAGUAUUUAUCGAAUUAUGCAACAGUGAAAUAAAAUAUCAUGAGAAAUUUAAAACAUUUAAAUAAGAAAAUUGCGAACAAUGUAAGUUAUUGGUAAUAAUUAAGGGUUUCAGAUACGUACUAAAGUUUAUUAAAAUGAUAAUUUUAAUUUAAAUCAUUACAUAGUGAUGGAUAUUUCAUAAUACCUACUUAUGUUAUAUUUCUUUCUUUUAUCAGUGUCAUCUACAAUUAUACCAAUAUUAAUAUUGUAAAGAUGGUAACCGCAAAAUGGCCGAAUCCAGAAAACGAUACCUUGAUAUACAUAGCAAAUCCGGUGGAGUCAGACAUGCCCGGUCACUGGAUGCCACUCAGCGUUAUGAAGAUUACACUCGGAGGAACACAAAAACCUGUCAAGAAACUGAUAAAUAAACCAUCUUCAACAACGCAUAAACCACCUACUCUUAAGGCGACAACAGAAAUAACAAUGCCACCGGAGACACCGGUAAAAGGUAAGAAGUUCCGGGGACGUCCGCAGGUGUCAGCAGUGCUGAAUUAGCGUCCCGGCGGGGACGGUUUAUGAAGAAUAACGAUUCUGUGGCAAAUAAAAAGUUUAAAGUC